GCCGCCGUGGCCUACUGGUUAGCACUUCGGACUUGUAAGCGGAGGGUUGCCGGUUCGAACCCUGACCAGUAGGCA
rnacentral:tRNA from 1 species